rnacentral:rRNA from 2 species
GGACUACCAGGGUAUCUAAUCCUGUUUGAUCCCCGCACUUUCGUGCCUCAGCGUCAGUUGUUGCCUGGCAGGCUGCCUUCGCUAUCGGUGUUCUUGACGAUAUCUAAGCAUUUCACCGCUACACCGUCAAUUCCGCCUGCCUCGUCAACACUCAAGCCCCGCAGUAUCAACGGCACCUCGACAGUUGAGCUGCCGUAUUUCACCGCUGACUUACAGGGCCGCCUACGCACCCUUUAAACCCAAUAAAUCCGGACAACGCUUGCCACCUACGUAUUACCGCGGCUGCUGGCAC